rnacentral:rRNA from 1 species
GCCUACGGGGGGCAGCAGUGAGGAAUAUUGGUCAAUGGUCGGGAGACUGAACCAGCCAAGCCGCGUGAGGGAUGAAGGUACAGAGUAUCGUAAACCUCUUUUGUCAGGGAACAAAGGCGGGGACGCGUCCCCGGAUGAGUGUACCUGAAGAAAAAGCAUCGGGUAACCCCGUGCCAGCAGCCGCGGUAAUACGGAGGAUGCGAGCGUUAUCCGGAUUUAUUGGGUUUAAAGGGUGCGCAGGCGGUCUGUUAAGUCAGCGGUCAAAGCCCGGGGCUCAACCCCGGCCCGCCGUUGAAACUGGCAGG